GACGAACGCUGGCGGCGUGCCUAAUACAUGCAAGUCGAACGCAUUUUCUUUCACCGUAGCUUGCUACACCGAAAGAAAAUGCGUGGCGAACGGGUGAGUAACACGUGGGUAACCUGCCCAUCAGCGGGGGAUAACACUUGUAAACAGGUGCUAAUACCGCAUAAUUCCAUUUACUGCAUGGUAGAUGGAUGAAAGGCGCUUUUGCGUCACUGAUGGAUGGACCCGCGGUGCAUUAGCUAGUUGGUGGGGUAACGGCCUACCAAGGCUGCGAUGCAUAGCCGACCUGAGAGGGUGAUCGGCCACACUGGGACUGAGACACGGCCCAGACUCCUACGGGAGGCAGCAGUAGGGAAUCUUCGGCAAUAGACGCAAGUCUGACCGAGCAACGCCGCGUGAGUGAAGAAGGUUUUCGGAUCGUAAAACUCUGUUGUUAGAAAAGAACAAGGAUGAGAGUGGAAAGUUCAUCCCUUGACGGUAUCUAACCAGAAAGCCACGGCUAACUACGUG
rnacentral:rRNA from 1 species